AAUGGAUUUGGCGGCCAGGCGUCCCAUUUAGAGGAACCUGCCCUAUAAACGACAGUCCACGAGAUAUCUUACUUUUUUAGUAGGCAAUUUGUAUACCGUUGUUGUCAGUUAGUUUUAAUAAAAAGCUUUCUAAAAUGAUUAUUCAUUGAUUUCAAAUAAAGGUGCAGUUAAUAAAAAAGGUUGAGGUGGGUUACAUUUAUUUGAUUAAUACGGAAAAAUGGCUGUAAUGGUGUUUUAAAGGAGGAUUUAAAGGUAAAAAAUUAUUAUUUUGAUAAGAGUAUCGUCUUGUGUACAUACCGCCCGUC
rnacentral:rRNA from 1 species